rnacentral:rRNA from 1 species
GUCUAGCCGGGCUGAGCUUCGUGUGGUCGUAUUUCGAAGACUUCGGCUCGGUCGGCGUGCACUUCUCCCCUAGUAGAACGUCGCGACCCACUGGUGUGCGAUCAUAUGGUGUGAGACCACGUCGAAGACUGUCGCUCGUUGGCGAUUUCGGGCGUUCGCGUCCGGAAUUUGUCGCGGCGCGUUCAGAUGACAUUGAAAGGGAUCUCUUUAAAUGCCCGAUCGCAGGGCCGGUGGUAGUCGAAUAAAAAAUGGUAUUGGGCCGCCUUGAAGGCGUUUCCGUGCGUGAGACUGUUCGCGAUGCUUGGAUAUGGUACGCUUCGCGCGUCCUGUUCGACGUCCGGACUUUUUUUGCGUUGCGCGAAACCGGCUCCACUCAAUUACCUGUCAGCGACGCUAUUGCUUUGGGUAAUUUCAGGACCCGUCUUGAAACACGGACCAAGGAGUCUAACACGUACGCGAGUCAUUGGGCUCAUGUGAAACCCACAGGCGUAUUGAAAGAAAAAAUCGUUCCUCGCAUCGAUUAAGGGAUGAUGGGCACGCGUUAAAGAAGCGGCCUCGCAAUCCCGGGGCGUCUCGUGUCUCGUUUACGAGCUGAGGCGCACCUUGAGCGUACGUGUUGGGACCCGAAAGAUGGUGAACUAUGCCUGGUCAGGACGAAGUCAGGGGAAACCCUGAUGGAGGUCCGUAGC